UUUUCCAUGGGGAGAUUUUGCUGAUUUGAUCAGUCAAAUUACAUUUCCUAAGGCUGCAAGUCCAGCAAUAUCUCUGCUGUUCUUUUAUACGCUUAUACUGCAUUUGUGUGCUUCAUAGAAUUGGAUUUGGCUUUGGCUUUACUGAGACAAAGCAUGUUUAAUUGAGCGACUUGCUAGUGUUUUCACUGAAUAUUCAGUGAUAGGUGGAACAAACUCUCAGAUAUGCAGAUUUAAGCAGCAAGUAGCAAUGUAAUUUAUUUGGCUUGACAUUCAUUGGGGGUGUUGUUCUUUUGGCUGGAGUGCUAUUUAAGUGUCAUCUUGCCCUGUUACUUACAUUUUACUUGUAGUACCAAUCAGUAACAUGGAGACUAAGUUUGUGAAUGUUAACAAUCUAUCGGGUAUCCUUCAUCGACUGCUUCCUGCUGUUGGACCUGGACUUUUGAUCGGAAUUGGAUAUGUUGACCCUGGAAAGUGGGCAGCAACUGUUGAAGCAGGUGCUCAUUUUGGAUAUGAUUUAGUCCUGCA
rnacentral:misc_RNA from 1 species